rnacentral:sRNA from 2 species
AUCACUGCUAAUCUAUCGCUGCUAAUCUAUUGCUGUCAAUCUAUCUACUGCUGCCAAUCUAUCUACUGCUGCCAAUCUAUCUAUCACUGCCAAUCUAUAUAGAGUAAAUCAUGAUCCCAUUUGAUCCCAUUUUGUAAAAUGAGAUUAAAUGAAAUCAGAAUCACUAAUUUAUUAGUAAAACAUGAUCUGAGACUAGAUUUAUAAUAUAAACAGUGUAAAGUAACUAAUUUGUUAAAUACUAUAUGAAAUCAGAACUAAGAUAUCUAAUAAUGAAACUGAGGAAAAAUUUGGUCUCAGUUCUAUACAUGAUCACACAGCC